rnacentral:antisense_RNA from 1 species
CUUCAGCGACCCCAGCCACAGCGGACGCCCCUCCGGCCGACCCUGCCCAUAAGUCGCCAACAGCGCCUGAGCCUC